rnacentral:rRNA from 1 species
AGUGAACGCUGGCGGUAGGCCUAACACAUGCAAGUCGAACGGCAGCACAGUAAGAGCUUGCUCUUACGGGUGGCGAGUGGCGGACGGGUGAGGAAUACAUCGGAAUCUACUUUUUCGUGGGGGAUAACGUAGGGAAACUUACGCUAAUACCGCAUACGACCUACGGGUGAAAGCAGGGGAUCUUCGGACCUUGCGCGAUUGAAUGAGCCGAUGUCGGAUUAGCUAGUUGGCGGGGUAAAGGCCCACCAAGGCGACGAUCCGUAGCUGGUCUGAGAGGAUGAUCAGCCACACUGGAACGGAGACACGGUCCAACCUCCCACGGGAGGCAGGAGGGGGGAAUAUUGGACAAUGGGCGAAAGCCUGAUCCAGCCAUACCGCGUGGGUGAAGAAGGCCUUCGGGUUGUAAAGCCCUUUUGUUGGGAAAAAAAAGCAGCAGGUUAAUACCCCGCUGUUCUGACGGUACCAAAAGAAUAAGCACCGGCUAACUUCGU